rnacentral:lncRNA from 1 species
GUUUGAAGGGACCACAGGGAGCUCAGAGUAAAGACUUCCUCACAGCUUGAGUUCUUGCACAUUGCUGUCUGUCAUAAAUAUGCACCAACACACAAAUAAUUUUUAUUUUGAAGACAGAAAGUGAAAUAUCAACAGAUGAAAUCCAAAAGGCAGCCAAAGAGAAAGCUGCUCUUCCAGAUGGAUCUGCUUUUUAGACACUUCCCUGACUCUUCAUCUUCAGUGGAAUGUUUUCACUGUUUCAUGUGAACCUUAAAAAGGCUUGUGUACGCUGCCUGGGCCCCUCUUGAAGUACUCAUGGACAGGUAGCAGAAAGAAGCUACCGUUCUUGUCCCUGGUCUGCUGAGCUCAUCGGUUGUAUUCCCAUGUAUUGUUACUGAAGCUCAAUUGGAUCUUCAAUCAUGUUAUCUCCUAGAAUAAGAGAAGGGGAGACUUCCACGAAUUACAUCAAUUUGGACACACGGUCAGACUGUCAUCCUCUAGAGACGGGGAAUUUGCUGUUUGGCUGCCACAAUUCUGUGUUUGUCAGGGGCCUUCCAGCACUCUGCACACUGUUGCUGCUACUAAUCCUACCAUUUGCAUACAGCACCAGCUGGUCAAAGAGCUGCCCAUGGCAAAAUGAACAGAGAAGUGAACUUUUGAAAAGUAUGAUAUUCAAGUUUUGAAGCUAACUGUCAUGAGUGGGCAGAGGAGGAAUGCU